rnacentral:rRNA from 1 species
UGCCAGCCGCCGCGGUAAUACGAAGGGUGCUAGCGUUGUUCGGAAUUACUGGGCGUAAAGAGCAUGUAGGCGGCGGCAUUAGUCAGCUGUGAAAUCCCUCGGCUCAACCGAGGAACCGCAGCUGAAACUGUGCCGCUAGAGUACGGGAGGGGAGAACGGAAUUCCUGGUGGAGCGGUGAAAUGCGUAGAUAUCAGGAGGAACGCCGGAGGCGAAAGCGGUUCUCUGGCCCGUAACUGACGCUGAGGUGCGAAAGCUAGGGGAGCAAACAGGAUUAGAUA